rnacentral:rRNA from 1 species
GAUGAACGCUAGCGGCAGGCCUAAUACAUGCAAGUCGAACGGUGUCUUCGGACAUAGUGGCGCACGGGUGCGUAACACGUAUGCAACCUACCUUACAUUGGGGGAUAGCCUUUCGAAAGGGAGAUUAAUACCGCAUAAGACAGUAGCUGGGCAUCCAGCAGCUGUUAAAGACUUAUCGAUGUAAGCUGGGCAUGCGUCCAAUUAGCUAGUUGGUGAGGUAACGGCUCACCAAGGCAAUGAUUGGUAGGGGAACUGAGAGGUCAAUCCCCCACACUGGCACUGAGAUACGGGCCAGACUCCUGCGGGAGGCAGCAGUAGGGAAUAUUGGGUAAUGGACGCAAGUCUGACCCAGCCAUGCCGCGUGCAGGAUGAAGGCGUUAUGCGUUGUAAACUGCUUUUAUACAGGAAGAAGCGACUCUUGCGAGAGGCAUUGACGGUACUGUAUGAAUAAGCACCGGCUAACUCCGUGCCAGCCGCCGCGGUAACAC